GUAACUUGUGCUCGCUUCCAAUACUAAAAUUGGAACGAUACAGAGAAUAUUAGCAUGGCCCCUGCGCAAGGAUGACAUGCAUCCUGGUAACUUUUUU
rnacentral:snRNA from 1 species